AAGGCUUGCCCAGUGCGCAGGUGCAGAAAACACGCCGACGGACCGAGAGGCGACCUUGUCCCUGGUAGCGGAAGCAGGAGCAACGGCAGGAGGGAUGCGGAGCGCUCAGCUGCAGCCGCGCUUCUCGCCGGCGCCCUCGCUGCCCGAGCACAAGGACAGCCGCCCCGCCCGUUCCACCCGGUGCCCAAGGUCCCCCAGCUUCUCUGACCCCUCCGGCGUUUGCGGAACCUCCCGGGUCUGACGAGGACACCGCCGUUGCCCGAGGAGGCUACGGGGCAACGCAGAGCAGGCAGUGGGGACCGCAGGGCAGCCCCGGGGCGCCGUCCCCACCGCCCUUACCCUGGCUUCGCCUUGCCGCCGCGGGGAAUCCGGUGCGGACGCACGCGAACUCUGCCCGGGAGCCGAGGUGACGAUCUACCUGGUCUCGGUAAUAAGUAUUUGCAAAACACAUCACACCAAAAUCCCGUUAACUUCAUGAAAACUCACUUUAUAGGAUGAUUUUUGAAGAACCAGUUUAUUAAGAGAUUACACCAAAAGCAUAAACAAUUUAUACGUCAAACUCCGACUGAAAAAAAAAUAACCGAUAAGGAUGUUUUUUAAAUGUACUGUACUCACAAAUAACAAGACAAAUUUGACCUGUUCAAUAAAUAGAAAUGAAGUGGCUAAAAAUGUUUAAAUGGAAAUGGAAAACAGUCGUCUUCUUUGUACAGUUUUGAAGGGGUGCCCCCUAUUCACGCCUACACGUAGAAAAACCCUGACAAAAUCAGAGGUUCACUUAACACUCCAACCAUAUGAGCGUAUUAAGGUUUCUUUUCAGAUCUUAGGAGAUCUUGUCCACCUUAAUCCCAUUCACAGAUCUUAGGAGAUCUUGUCCACCUUAAUCCCAUCAUAAAGACUGUUGGCAUGAGUUCUGAUGUACUGUUUUAAUAUGCUGAGUACUGUUGAUUCAACAACAAACCUUAAUGGGUGAUGAGCUUUUGCAUACCAAUAUGAAUUUGUCAGCACUUCUGAAAACUGGCCAUCAUUUUUCAAAUUCACAAUUUGCUGGAUGUCAGGGAACAAUAGGAAGAAGAAUGAGCGUCAAUUUUCAUGUCUUCCUUUGCUUCUUCACUGGCCUUCCAUAGAAGUAGUCAGAAAAAAACAAAGCACCAUCAACCACACUUCACAAACAAUUCAUGUUGGCCUAAGCUUUGCUCAACAUUCAUAUGACAGAAGAUAGAAUAAUGAAAAGGAACUGCUGGCAUCACUUUCCCCAUAAUAUUACAUAAAAAUGGACAGCACAUUAAAUAAACAUUCUGUUAUUAAUCAUUAAAUAUAUUAACACCAAAAAUCAUGUAUAAAUUAGGAAAUAAAUGUACAAACUAUUUUGCAAAGUGCUUUU
rnacentral:lncRNA from 1 species